rnacentral:rRNA from 1 species
ACGGAAGGCAGCAGUGGGGGAUAUUGCACAAUGGGGGAAACCCUGAUGCAGCGACGCCGCGUGAGUGAUGAAGUAUUUCGGUAUGUAAAGCUCUAUCAGCAGGGAAGAAAAUGACGGUACCUGACUAAGAAGCUCCGGCUAAAUACGUGCCAGCAGCCGCGGUAAUACGUAUGGAGCAAGCGUUAUCCGGAUUUACUGGGUGUAAAGGGAGCGUAGACGGCGUGGCAAGUCUGAUGUGAAAGCUAUGGGCUCAGCCCAUAAACUGCAUUGGAAACUGUCAUGCUAGAGUGUCGGAGAGGUAAGCGGAAUUCCUAGUGUAGCGGUGAAAUGCGUAGAUAUUAGGAGGAACACCAGUGGCGAAGGCGGCUUACUGGACGAUAACUGACGUUGAGGCUCGAAAGCGUGGGGAGCAAACAGGAUUAGAUACCCUGGUA